UACGUAGGGUGCGAGCGUUAAUCGGAAUUACUGGGCGUAAAGCGUGCGCAGGCGGUCUGUUAAGACCGAUGUGAAAUCCCCGGGCUUAACCUGGGAACUGCGUCUGAUACUGGAUGGCUUGAAUUCGGGAGAGGGAUGCAGAAUUCCAGGUGUAGCGGUGAAAUGCGUAGAUAUCUGGAGGAACACCGAUGGCGAAGGCAAUCCCCUGGGCCUGCACUGACGCUCAUGCACGAAAGCGUGGGGAGCAAACAGG
rnacentral:rRNA from 1 species